rnacentral:rRNA from 1 species
GAUGAACGCUGGCGGCGUGCUUAACACAUGCAAGUCGAACGGAAAGGCCCAAGCUUGCUUGGGUACUCGAGUGGCGAACGGGUGAGUAACACGUGGGUGAUCUGCCCUGCACUUCGGGAUAAGCCUGGGAAACUGGGUCUAAUACCGGAUAGGACGAUGGUUUGGAUGCCAUUGUGGAAAGUUUUUUCGGUGUGGUUGAUGAGCUCGCGGCCUAUCAGCUUGUUGGUGGGGGAAUGGCCUACCAAGGGGUUGACGGGUAGCCGGCCUGAGAGGGGGGACGGCCACAUUGGGACUGGGAUACGGCCCAGACUCCUACGGGAGGCAGCAGUGGGGAACAUUGCACAAUGGGCGCAAGCCUGAUGCAGCGGCGCCGCGUGGGGGAUGACGGCCUUCGGGUUGUAAACUCCUUUCGCUAGGGGCGAAGCGUUUUUGUGACGGUACCUGGAGAAGAAGCACCGGCUAACUACGUGCCAGCCGCCGCCGUAA